GAUGAACGCUGGCGGCGUGCCUAAUACAUGCAAGUCGAGCGAACAGACGAGGAGCUUGCUCCUUUGACGUUAGCGGCGGACGGGUGAGUAACACGUAGGUAACCUACCUAUAAGACUGGGAUAACUUCGGGAAACCGGAGCUAAUACCGGAUAAUAUUUCGAACCGCAUGGUUCGAUAGUGAAAGAUGGCUUUGCUAUCACUUAUAGAUGGACCUGCGCCGUAUUAGCUAGUUGGUAAGGUAACGGCUUACCAAGGCAACGAUACGUAGCCGACCUGAGAGGGUGAUCGGCCACACUGGAACUGAGGCACGGUCCAGACUCCUACGGGAGGCAGCAGUAGGGAAUCUUCCGCAAUGGGCGAAAGCCUGACGGAGCAACGCCGCGUGAGUGAUGAAGGUCUUCGGAUCGUAAAACUCUGUUAUUAGGGAAGAACAAACGUGUAAGUAACUGUGCACGUCCUGACGGUACCUAAUCAGAAAGCCACGGCUAACUACGUG
rnacentral:rRNA from 1 species